rnacentral:rRNA from 1 species
UGGGGAAUUUUGGACAAUGGGCGAAAGCCUGAUCCAGCAAUGCCGCGUGUGUGAAGAAGGCCUUCGGGUUGUAAAGCACUUUUGUCCGGAAAGAAAUCCUUGGCUCUAAUACAGUCGGGGGAUGACGGUACCGGAAGAAUAAGCACCGGCUAACUACGUGCCAGCAGCCGCGGUAAUACGUAGGGUGCAAGCGUUAAUCGGAAUUACUGGGCGUAAAGCGUGCGCAGGCGGUUUGCUAAGACCGAUGUGAAAUCCCCGGGCUCAACCUGGGAACUGCAUUGGUGACUGGCAGGCUAGAGUAUGGCAGAGGGGGGUAGAAUUCCACGUGUAGCAGUGAAAUGCGUAGAGAUGUGGAGGAAUACCGAUGGCGAAGGUCAGCCCCCAUGGGCCAAUACUGACGCUCAUGCACGAAAGCGUGGGGAGCAAACNGGAUUAAUACCCUGGUAGUCCACGCCCUAAANGAUGUCAACUAGUUGUUGGGGAUUCAUUUCCUUAGUAACGUAGCUAACGCGUGAAGUUGACCGCCUGGGGAGUAC